AGAAUUAAAAAACAAAAUUUAAUUGUUUUCAAAACAAUUUCGAGCGGUCGGAAGUUUUUAUUUUGCUUUUUCUAGAUUUGUUGUUACUUUGUGAGUGAAUUUAACGUUAAAUAAAAAUUAUGAGAUUUAAAGAGCGUUCUUCUCAUCCGACAUUGGCGCAAAUAGAGGCAUUAAUAAACGUUUUGGGUUAAAAGCUAGCGAAACAAAAGGAUUAAUCGAAUCUCAACAUGUUCAAUAAGAGAACAAGGAUAUUAAAAAAAUAUAGGAACUAAAUUCUCUUGUCAGUUAAGAUCCAUUCCCGGAACUACAACAGAUUGAAAAUACUAAUCCACAUCAUCAGAAUAUUGUAAGGAGAAUUUAUAGCCAACUCGGAAAAUGUAUCAGUAUUGGAACAAUCGCAAACAUACAGCAUUGCAUCAAGAAUCACCUAUUUUGCAGUCAUCAUCCUCUAACUAAAUGCAAGUAACUUCUACUUAUUGUGAUGCUACUACUAGUAGCUCCAGCCACAGUAGGUCUCACAUGUUAGUCAAGAGAUUGGGUUGAUAUGUGUUUAUUCAGGUCAAAGUACCUAUUCAUUGGACCACCAUAUUAGGGACAUUGAUUUGUGUAUAUUGCUGUUACUUGUAAAUAAAAACAUUUUGUUGCAUGUAUUGUAAACAAAAACAUUUUGUUGCAUGUAUUGUAAACAUUGUAUUUUACCUAACCUUGUUUUUAAAUAAAUUUAUUAUUUUUUUCAGCACCUCAACACCUGACCUGCUAUUUCACCACUUUUACAAUGAAAA